rnacentral:tRNA from 1 species
GAGGGUAUAGUUCAGCAGUAGAGCACGUGCUUAGCGUGCAUGAGGUCCUGGGUUCACUCCCCAGGACCUCCA